CAUUUUCAGCUGUUCUUGUCAAGACGAAAAGGGAGAAAAUGGGGCCACUGCUGCUUUUAGUCUGCAUGCUGGGAGCAACGCUCGCAGCUCCUGUCCCGGAAAGCGGAAGCAAUGAGGGUUCCCCGAUGGAGGAGCAAAUGAUGGGUGACGCACCUGCUGCAGACCUUCCCGCUCCUCCGGUCAGUGAUGACUCAGAGGAAGAGGAGGAAAAAGCCGCCGCAGCCCCCAAAGCAGCCGCCGCCGCCCCGCUGAACUCGGAGGAGGCUGGCGAGGACGGAGCCGAGGAGGAGGAAGCGGCAGAGGCGGCCGAAGAGGAACCCGCGGCCGAGGCAGAACCCGCGGCCGAGGCAGAACCCGCGGCCGAGGCAGAACCCGCGGCCGAGGCAGAACCUGCGGCCGAACCCGCGGCCGAAGGGGCUACUGAAGCUGUUGCCGAGCCUGCUGCCGAAGCUGCCGCUGUCGACCCGGCCGUAGUGGAGGCCCCUGCUGCGGAGGUAGUCCCAGCCGACGCCACUCCCGUGGUGGAGGCGGCCGCGGUGGAGGCUCCAGCGGUGGAGGCUCCCGCGGUGGAGGCUGCAGCGGUGGAGGUUCCCGCCGCGGAGGCUGCCGCGGUCGAGGCUCAAGUGGUCGAGGCUGCAGCGGUGGAGGCUGCCGUGGUAGCGGUGGAAGCGGUGCCAGAGCUGGUGGUACUAGCGGGUCCCGUGGAGGUCCAGGCUGGGACAGCGUAAUCGCCCCAGUUUGUCACCUCAAUUUCUCUCCUACUGACCUGAGUAUUAUGUCUCAGUAGGCCUAGGUCAUGUUAAUAUACUGACGGCGGCAGAUUUUUUGUCAUUUUGCCGGAUCAUUGGACAGAUCACAGGCCGCAUAUGGUCAGCCCAGACUGAUGUUAUUUUUCUUAUGUCAUUUACUUGAUGAUGUUUGUGAUGAUCUGUGAAAAUAAAUAUGUGGUGGUUGAAUUCAUCCACUCAUCAGGUUUAUUGUAUUACACUUAAAACGGAUCAAAUUGAUUAAAAGGUAACCAUUUACAAUAAGGGUACAAUAAUGAACUAUCAAUCUAAAUUAGUUAAUGCGAUUAUAAGCAUUAUCUAACAAUAACAAGAAGAUAAUUAACUUCUUAACGAAUAAUGGUGUAGUAGUCAUUACUUGUUAACUAAGUCAGUUUUUGAUUUAUACUUUUUCUAAUAGCACACAAAUUAAGAUAUUUGUUGUAUUAUAUUGAAUGAUUACUAGACCAUAAAUUAACUGUAAAUAAGCCCUUAGUUCACAUCACUCAUGGUUAACCUCUUUACCCUUAUUGUAAAGUGUUACCGAAUAACAGAUUACUACAGUUGAUCUUUUAGCAAUCCUUAAACAAUCAUAUUUCCAUAUCAAACCUAUAGUUAACCUAUCAUAAAAUAUAUACUAUAGCCUACAUUGCAUUUCCGUUAUUAGUCGUCGGCUCUGCUGUUUGGAUGCGAAUUGUCCAUCACCCACAGAACACUGCAGCCAAAGGAUCUUCCCAUGGGAUCGCAGAUUCAUCUAACAUGCAGUAGAUGUAGGCUACCAUUGUAACAAUCAAGCUCAGAUCUACAGAUGGGAUGGUUCGGACAGUCAUUUAUCACCACAUAUAAAUGCACAAGGGAUCGUGUGGCUCCAGUAGGACAGCAUUAGCAGCAGAACCGGUACACUCCCGGUGGAUUUGCUACAGCUUUAAUAGGAUAUAGAGGGGAUAGGCUAGAGUGCUGAGUAAGCACUUAACCAGCCAGGGAGGACUGAAGCGCUUAGAAUCCCUCCAAUAUAUAUUGGACAUAAUGCCCCCCCCCCCCCCCCCCCCCCUUAUGGGGAAUACAAACCACCUUACAUUAAGGAUCAGAGCUCUGUUUCAUAUUUCGUGUUUUGUUCUUUUUUUUUUUCUUUUACAUUCCUGGAUAACAAGUAAAUCCAGGAGAGUGCAAUUUUCUCCCUGAAGUAAAAAAAACAUAGCUAGUCACUUUUUUGCGGUUUCUUAUUGAUUGUGAAGUGUCUGAUAGUUGUCUGUAGUUGUGAUAUAUGAUGAUUACUCGUGUUCUCUGUAAAAAAUGUGUGAAAGAAAGGAGUGUGGAUGAAUGGUGGCCUCAUCCACUUUCAUCCUUCUCUAAUCCCCCUCGAUCCUCCUCAGGGUCACUCACAACUUAGUCUCCUUCCUGGGACUCUACGCUGCGUUUAAUUGUGCGGCUGCUCACCAAUACAUUCAUAUUAUGAUCAAUUCAACCUUCUGUGCUCCAAAGAUCAAACAAAACAUGGACUCAUCGCUCUAGAUUAGCUUGGUGGGAAAG
ensembl:lncRNA